GCCGGUAUAGCUCAGUCGGUAGAGCAACUGACUUGUAAUCAGUAGGUCCCGCGUUCGAUUCGUGGUGCCGGCACCA
rnacentral:tRNA from 1 species